rnacentral:tRNA from 1 species
GGUGGCUCAGUGCUAGAGCACUUGCCUUGCAUGCACGAGGUCCUGGGUUCGAUUCCUCAGCACCA